GAAAUGCGAUAAGUAAUGUGAAUUGCAGAAUUCAGUGAAUCAUCGAAUCUUUGAACGCACCUUGCGCUCCUUGGUAUUCCUUGGAGCAUGCCUGUUUGAGUAUCAUGAAAUCUUCAAAGUAAAUCUUUUGUUAACUCAAUUGGUUUCUACUUUGGUAUUGGAGGUCUUUGCAGCUUCACACCUGCUCCUCUUUGUUCAUUAGCUGGAUCUCAGUGUUAUGCUUGGUUCCACUCGGCGUGAUAAGUUAUCUAUCGCUGAGGACACUGUAAAAGGUGGCCAAGGUAAAUGCAGAUGAACCGCUUCUAAUAGUCCAUUGACUUGGACAAUACUUUUAUGAUCUGAUCUCAAAUCAGUUAGGACUACCCGCUUAACUUAAGC
rnacentral:misc_RNA from 1 species